AAAAUUUGACACGUUUUUCUCUGCCUUUUGCAUUUUUCACUUAGCAGUGUAUCUUGGCACAUUUUAUAUGAGUACAUGAAGAGCAUUUUCAUCCUGCAGUAUUUUGGUGUUUGAGUUGUCGACCCUGUCUUGGGCUCACCUGUACCAUGGGGGAUUGACUCAGUUGACCCUCAGGGCCUUGCAGCUCUGACCCUGAACCAACCCAUGGGGUUUUUCCCUGAAAUGUGGGGAUCUUGACAGAACUGUCUCCCUUUCUCCAGGGCCCAAGGGGAGAUAUCACAACCUUAUAGGGUUUCUCAGUCUCCUUUGCAGUUGGAUAGGGUGCAAUUUCUGCCCUCAUCUGGCUCCUUGAAAAGGCGCAGUGGCCUCACCUGAACACUGCCUCCUGGGUCACACUGCACCCUGAGACGAGCUGAGAGGGACUCCCCACAACCUCUGACAGGCAGGGAGUGACCCCCGCCUGGCCUCCCUCAUUCUGGAAAAACAAACAGGCUGGGCUAGACUUCCACGAAGGCCCCUUUCAGCUCUGAGACCGACACCUACCACAGAGGGCCUUGCCCUUAGUAGACGCUUGAUGGACUUUGCUGCUGCCUGGCCUGGCAUUGCCAACGUCAUUGUCCAACACGUUGCUGUCCCCACUUCCUCUAACACCCCAUUUUCUUUCUUUUUUAAAAAAAAUUAACUUUUCAGUUCAGGGGUACAUGUGCAGGUUUAUUGUAUAGGUAAACUUGUGUCAUGGGGGUUUGUUGUACAGAUUAUUUCAUCACCCGGGUAUUCAGCCUAGUACCCACUCAUUAUUUUUCC
rnacentral:lncRNA from 1 species